AUUUAAAUAGUUUAAAAUAAAAUAUUGAUUUGUGGUGUCAAUGAUAUGAGAAUUUCAUUUUAGAUC
rnacentral:tRNA from 2 species